UACGAAGGGGGCUAGCGUUGCUCGGAAUCACGGGGCGUAAAGGGCGCGUAGGCGGCCAUUCAAGUCAGGGGUGAAAGCCUGUGGCUCAACCACAGAAUUGCCUUUGAUACUGUUUGGCUAGAGACCGGAAGAGGUAAGUGGAACUGCGAGUGUAGAGGUGAAAUUCGUAGAUAUUCGCAAGAACACCGGUGGCGAAAGCGGCUCACUGGACCCGAUCUGACACUGAUGUGCGAAAGCUAGGGUAGCAAACGGG
rnacentral:rRNA from 1 species